CUACGCGCGGGGCGGGUGCUGCUUGCUGCAGGCUCUGGGGAGUCGCCAUGCCUACAACACAGCAGUCCCCUCAGGAUGAGCAGGAAAAGCUCUUGGAUGAAGCCAUACAGGCUGUGAAGGUCCAGUCAUUCCAAAUGAAGAGAUGCCUGGUAAGAAUGGAGAUGUGGGAGGCACAGUUGCAGUUCGUGUGUUCCUAAGGAAGCAUGUGCAGUGUCUUCUAGAGUCAGGUGUUUCUGGUAAAUCUAAUCUUCACCGUUUACCAGCAUCUAUCUUCAGUCUCAUCUCCCUCAAGCACUUUGUGGAGCAAUUUCAACAAAGAGCCCUGUUUACUCACAUGUAUAUUUAUGGUUUGGGAUUGUCUGUCUUCCCUACUAGAAUACAAGCUCAUAAGAAUAAGAGACCCUUCCUUUUAUUUACACAUUACUGUAUUAUUACCACACCAGUGUCUGACCAGAAUUACUAGCCUCCUUGGUUCUAUACCUCAGACCUGAGGAAUAUUUAACAUAUAAUAGGUACUCAGUAAAUAUUUGUUGAAUGAAUGGAUUUAAAUGCUUUGCAUUUGAAUUAUUCAGCUUUUUUUCUAAAUAUCUUGAAAACUUUAAUUUCUUUGCUGAAUAGAUAUAUUUAUUGUAGAAGCUAGCUUAAAAAUUAUACUUAACACUUAUUUACAUAUUUUUAUAUUCUAAAAGAUAAAGUAAGAGAUAAUCUGUGUAGAUACUUUUGAUUCUCUGGAUUAAAAUGUAAGGAAUUGAGCCAAAUUGGUUAGUACUUUAAA
rnacentral:lncRNA from 10 species